rnacentral:sRNA from 12 species
CCUUUGGAGAGCUAAACAAACUCAAGUAGCUUAAUUUAUUAGUAAAAGAGAGUUCGUAGAAGAAGGAA